rnacentral:rRNA from 1 species
AACGCGAAGAACCUUACCUGGGCUCGAACGGCUUCUCAACGGCGGUGGAAACACCGCUAUCCCUUAAAAGAGUGGAGUCGAGGUGCUGCAUGGCUGUCGUCAGCUCGUGUCGUGAGAUGUUGGGUUAAGUCCCGCAACGAGCGCAACCCUUGUCCUGUGUUGCCACCCCGUAAGGGAGCACUCGCAGGAGACCGCCAGCGAUAAGCUGGAGGAAGGUGGGGAUGACGUCAAGUCCUCAUGGCCUUUAUGUCCAGGGCUACACACGUGCUACAAUGGCCGGUACAAAGCGUUCCCAAGCCGCGAGGUGGAGGCAAUCGCAAAAAACCGGUCUCAGUUCGGAUUGCAGGCUGCAACUCGCCUGCAUGAAGCUGGAAUCGCUAGUAAUGGCAGAUCAGCACGCUGCCGUGAAUACGUUCCCGGGCCUUGUA